rnacentral:rRNA from 1 species
GAACUUAAGCAUAUCAAUAAGCGGAGGAAAAGAAACCAACAGGGAUUGCCUCAGUAACGGCGAGUGAAGCGGCAACAGCUCAAAUUUGAAAUCUGGCUCUUUCAGGGUCCGAGUUGUAAUUUGUAGAAGAUGCUUUGGGUGUAGCUCCGGUCUAAGUUCCUUGGAACAGGACGUCAUAGAGGGUGAGAAUCCCGUAUGUGACUGGGUGCUUUCGCUCGUGUAAAGCUCUUUCGACGAGUCGAGUUGUUUGGGAAUGCAGCUCAAAAUGGGUGGUAAAUUUCAUCUAAAGCUAAAUAUUGGCCAGAGACCGAUAGCGCACAAGUAGAGUGAUCGAAAGAUGAAAAGCACUUUGGAAAGAGAGUUAAACAGUACGUGAAAUUGUUGAAAGGGAAGCGCUUGCAACCAGACUUGCGCGCUGUUGAUCAUCCGAGCUUCUGCCCGGUGCACUCGACAGCGUUCAGGCCAGCAUCGGUUUUGGUGGGCGGAUAAAGGCCUUGGGAAUGUAGCUUCUUUCGGGGAGUGUUAUAGCCCUCGGUGCAAUGCGCCCUACCGGGACCGAGGACCGCGCUUCGGCUAGGAUGCUGGCGUAAUGGUUGUAAGCGACCCGUCUUGAAACACGGACCAAGGAGUCUAACAUCUAUGCGAGUGUUUGGGUGUCAAACCCAUACGCGUAAUGAAAGUGAACGGAGGUGAGAACCCUUAAGGGUGCAUCAUCGACCGAUCCUGAUGUCUUCGGAUGGAUUUGAGUAAGAGCAUAGCUGUUGGGACCCGAAA